AGGACGAACGCUUGCGGCGUGCCUAAGAAAUGCAAGUCGAACGGAUGGGGUAGCAAUACUUCAUUAGUGGCGAACGGUCGCGUAACACGUAAGGAACCUGCCCUAAAGUGGGGGAUAACAGCCCGAAAGGGUUGCUAAUACCGCAUAUGGAUGUUUGACGGCAUCGUUAAACAUUUAAAGCCUUGUGCGCUUUAGGAUGGUCUUGCGGCCUAUCAGCUUGUUGGUGGGGUAAUGGCCUACCAAGGCUUUGACGGGUAGCUGGUCUGAGAGGACGAUCAGCCGGAUUGGGACUGAGAUACGGCCCAGACUCCUACGGGGGGCAGCAAUUAGGAAUCUUGCACAAUGGGGGAAACCCUGAUGCAGCGACGCCGCGUGGAGGAUGACGGCCUUCGGGUUGUAAACUCCUUUUGACAGGGAAGAAGAAUGUGACGGUACCUGUCGAAUAAGCCCGGCUAACUACGUGCCAGCAGCCGC
rnacentral:rRNA from 1 species